rnacentral:snRNA from 1 species
GAGCCGUCACACGGAAUCG